rnacentral:rRNA from 1 species
UAGUCCACGCCGUAAACGAUGAGUACUCGCCGUUGGGAUAGGCUUUAAGUCUAUUUUAGUGGCUAAGCUAACGCGAUAAGUACUCCGCCUGGGGAUUACGGCCGCAAGGCUAAAACUCAAAGGAAUUGACGGGGGCCCGCACAAGCGGUGGAGCAUGUGGUUUAAUUCGAUGCAACGCGAAGAACCUUACCUACCCUUGACAUCAUCAGAACUUGUUAGAGAUAACUCGGUGCCUUUUGGAACUGAUAGACAGGUGCUGCAUGGCUGUCGUCAGCUCGUGUCGUGAGAUGCUGGGUUAAGUCCCGUAACGAGCGCAACCCUUAUCCUUAGUUACCAUCAUUAAGUUGGGGACUCUAAGGAGACUGCCGGUGACAAACCGGAGGAAGGCGGGGACGACGUCAAGUCAUCA